UCCGAGUUGACCCCGGCAGUCUCCUACGAGUCCCCGGCCGAACCGCUGGUAACAUAAGACAAGGGUUGCGCUCGUUGCGGGACUUAACCCAACAUCUCACGACACGAGCUGACGACAGCCAUGCACCACCUGUCAUGGGCCCUUUCGGACACCGUAUCUCUACGGCUUUUCCCAUGAUGUCAAACCCAGGUAAGGUUCUUCGGGUCGCAUCGAAUUAAACCGCACGCUCCGCUGCUUGUGCGGGCCCCCGUCAAUUCCUUUGAGUUUCAGCCUUGCGGCCGUACUCCCCAGGCGGGGUACUUACUGCGUUAGCGACGGCACCGAGGGGGUCGCUCCCCCCGACGCCUAGUACCCAUCGUUUACGGCGUGGACUAC
rnacentral:misc_RNA from 1 species